rnacentral:sRNA from 1 species
UUCAGUCUGGUUUCCGCCAAGGCCACAGC